UACGAAGGGUGCAAGCGUUACUCGGAAUUACUGGGCGUAAAGCGUGCGUAGGCGGUUUGUUAAGUCCGUUGUGAAAGCCCUGGGCUCAACCUGGGAAUUGCAGUGGAUACUGGCGAGCUAGAGUGCGGUAGAGGAUGGUGGAAUUCCCGGUGUAGCAGUGAAAUGCGUAGAGAUCGGGAGGAACAUCAGUUGCGAAGGCGGCUCGUCUGGACCAGCACUGACACUGAGGCACGAAAGCGUGGGGAGGCAAACAGG
rnacentral:rRNA from 1 species